rnacentral:lncRNA from 1 species
CUCCUCUCUGACACUAUCUUUUUUUCUCACUCUCUCCCAUCAUGCAGCGUUCUUGACUUUUCCAGUCAAAGGGCAGAAUUAGGGCAGGAUUGGAGACAGGCCACAGUCUCAGUCUCUGUAUUAAACAUGCUCCUCAGUCCCUCCCUGGCCCAGCCCUCAUGAGCUCAUCUCUCCUCACUCCUUAACGACUGGCACUGUCACAGGUGAACACACACCACACACUACCCUGCAAUAUACACCACCAGCCCUCCCAGAGAAGAGUCUAACUGCCUGGCUGAGAUGGUGUGGGGGCCUGGCGGGCGCUUGCUUUCUCAUGCGCUGCAAGCCAACCCGGCUACUGCGGAAGCACCGAUAAAUCAGCUUCAGGGGGCUCCUAAGGAGGAAUUCAGGAGGGGAAAACACACAGUGCUGAUAGCUGGUACGUUUACGGGCCUGUCUGUAAUGGCAUUUGACUGGGGUCAUUUGACUGGGGUAAAUACUGAGUGAAGGGGAUAUCAUGGAGGGGGGAGCCUUUUAAACUCAUGGGCCUAACUGAGAAGAAGAAAACAGGCAGUGGCAGAUUUAUAAAGAGCAUAAUCUAUCAUGCUAGCAGAUACCUGAAGUAUCCCGUUAAGACAUAUUAGAGAUACAAAGAACCCAGAUCCUGCUCAGGUCAGGAGGAAGAAAGGCCUUCAUUAAUUUGGGAGAUCACUGAGGCCUCAGGUCCAUAUCAUCGGUUCUUUAUGCCAGGAAUGCAAGCUAUUUACGGGCAGGCCAAUCGGAGGCGGGGAGAGGUGAGGUGAUGACGUCACAGAUAGGAAAAGCAUACUUUUCAAAAGCUAAAAGAGGGAAAGAGAAGAAGUGAUUUUGAAAAGGGAUCUGAUCUGCCCUCUGCUCCUUCAGACAUUCCAGACUGUUUUGCUCUCUCUCUCACUCUCUUUCUUUCUCUGUCUGCGAAAUCUGCUUAACGAACCCCAUGAUAACAUUCAUAAAGAUUGAACUCAGUAUUACCUUUUCUAUGAAAACUACAAGACAAUCUACAAACAUACAUCGACAAACAUGAUAGCCGUAUCUUCAUUCAAACAAGACUAUUCAUUGCAAUAACCACUUAAUAACACAGACAUAACACACCAUUCCAGUGGGACACAGUAAAAAGCACUGCCACGUCUCCACAUUAGUGCUCAGACACGCUUUGAACGACUGUAGUGGUUUUAGGGGAGACUUUGAUUUGGGGAUUACAUUUGUUGAAAUCUUCAAUGUGGGCUAAUGGCUGCCACUCAGUCGGUCUCUGCCCCAAUCUAGUGUCUGUGCCUCAGUGUUGGCAGGUAGGGCUGCAGGGCUGAAUCAGGGCUAAGGUGAGGUGCAUAGGGACUGAUGAGAACACUGGCUGGCCAGGCUGCUCAGACAUGUUGAAGGGUACAGUUGGCAGCUGUCAGGCCUAUAUUUGUUAACUCUGUAAAGACAUGUGGAGAAGACCUUCCCUCCCAAUAAACAAACACAGUGGUGGCACAAAUCUUCACAGAGAGAAAAU